UCUCGAGGUUGGUCCAACCACAUUUGAAGCAAAGUUGCAGCCUCAUCUUCUUUGGAGUCUUGAUCAGGUGAAAGAGAACAUCAAGACCCAGACACAUCAACUUAUAGAUGCUCGAUCAAAACCUAGAUUUGAUGGUGCAGUUCCCGAGCCACGAAAGGGGAUUAGAAGUGGGCAUGUGCCUGGGAGCAAAUGUGUUCCGUUUCCUCAGGUGAAA